rnacentral:tRNA from 1 species
GCCUCGUUGGUGUAGUCCGGUCAAUCAUCCGGCCCUUUCGAGGCUGGGACCUGGGUUCAAAAGGCGAAGGCAAGAAGAAAGUAAGGCAAUGUUGAUAAUUCGUCGUAGAUCAGCAACAAACCGCUAAGAACCUUACCUUCCCUUGAAAGUCCCAGACGAGGCA